rnacentral:rRNA from 1 species
UACGGGGGGGGCAAGCGUUGUCCGGAAUUACUGGGCGUAAAGAGCUCGUAGGCGGCCAACUAAGUCAGACGUGAAAUCCCUCAGCUUAACUGGGGAACUGCGUCUGAUACUGGAUGGCUUGGAUUCGGGAGAGGAAUGCGGAAUUCCAGGUGUAGCGGUGAAAUGCGUAGAUAUCUGGAGGAACACCGGUGGCGAAGGCGGCAUUCUGGACCGACAUUGACGCUGAGGAGCGAAAGCCAGGGGAGCAAACGGG